UACGUAGGGUGCGAGCGUUAAUCGGAAUUACUGGGCGUAAAGCGUGCGCAGGCGGUUCGCUAAGACCGAUGUGAAAUCCCCGGGCUUAACCUGGGAACUGCAUUGGUGACUGGCGGGCUAGAGUGUGGCAGAGGGGGGUAGAAUUCCACGUGUAGCAGUGAAAUGCGUAGAGAUGUGGAGGAAUGCCGAUGGCGAAGGCAGCCCCCUGGGCUAACACUGACGCUCAUGCACGAAAGCGUGGGGAGCAAACAGG
rnacentral:rRNA from 1 species